rnacentral:rRNA from 1 species
UACGGAGGGGGCUAGCGUUGUUCGGAAUUACUGGGCGUAAAGCGCGCGUAGGCGGACCUGCAAGUCGGGGGUGAAAGCCCGAGGCUCAACCUCGGAACUGCCUUCGAUACUGCGGGUCUCGAGUCCGGGAGAGGUGAGUGGAAUUCCUAGUGUAGAGGUGAAAUUCGUAGAUAUUAGGAAGAACACCAGUGGCGAAGGCGGCU